rnacentral:lncRNA from 1 species
AUGCAUUCAUUUCACAGCUUUGAGCAUCAGCACCCUUUUUGGCCUGCAACAGGCAUGCAGGGGCUCAUUUUGAUGAGCGCUGCAACAAAUUUCUCUCUCUUUUUUUUCUCUCUCUCUCUCUUUUUUUUUUCAAAAUCCUCUGCCUUCAACUUUAGUGGGAUUGGCAGGAAGCCUUUUGUGCCUUGGUCUUUUAAGAAUUCUCCAGCUUAUUUAAAGUUUUACUGGAAUUUUUUCUUCUGGGAAAAUCUCUCCCUGCCCCAUUGAGAGAUGCUACCACCCCCAGUGUGGAUGGAUUAUGCGGGGACCUGGCCUGGUGCCAUGGAACAGGAGCUCACAGCCCAGACGUCAAGGUAAUUUCCAGACCUUGUUUUGUUUCCUGCAUCCCCUUCACGAGUUCAUGGGUUAAACCACAUGAGCUGACCGGCUCCUGAUGGCUUUAUAUAAACUGCACAGAUUUUUCAGGAAACAAAAAUAAAUCUUGCUCGCUCCUAACAGAGCAGGGGCGAUAUUCUCUAUGAGAGAGAGGAAUAGUUGAAAUGGCUCUAGAAUGGAUGGCAGUUUGGAUUGUGUAACCCAAACAGCCAGCAUAAAAUUGUAAAACUCUGUCUCAGGGGCAGAUGGCUGCUGGGAGGAUAUUUAUAGCAGGGACCUAGAAAUAACUGUAAUAGAAAAGCCUCCUGAGUAACAGAAGACAGGACUUCAGGUAGCUCUGGUCUAGAAGAUAUUCUUGUUUUUGUCUGAAAUUCUGGAGGGCUGCGCAUCCCCUAGCAUGCAGGAGAGAAUAGCCGGUAUACUCACAGAGUAUGCAAAAGUUAACCCUCGCAUAGGUCUGUGCUGCACAGGCCCGAUAGACAGGAACUGGAAACAGGAAGGGAAGAAGUAAGAUUAGCAGAAGCAUGGGUGAGGCAUUUCACACCACGUGCUGAGAGAUGCAGGGAGAGAGCCUGAGGACACUCUGGAAUCAGCAUGAUGGUGGUCAUCAUAUCAGGAAGGGGCUGCUUUGCAGGGAUGUGCAUGGGGCAGGGGCAGGAAACACAGAAUGGGGGCACAGAGAUUAGGGUCUGGGUUCAAAUAAGGAUGCAAUUACCCAGCCCCUCUGUGCUAAAGCCUUCAACAACUGGCCAAGGAGGAGGGAACCAGACUACAAUGGACCUGUGUAUGAUUUGUGAUUUUUUUUCUCUGUUUCUAAGUUUAUGAGCUGUAUCGAGCAUACUUUGUUAGCAUGGGUUCAGGACUCUGUAGUACAUCUUUUGGUUACUGUUAUAAAUUUUCAAGCUUCAGUUCUCAUUACAGAGAAGCACUCAAAUUAAAGCACCCAAACCAACACUGAGGUCACCACUCUUGGAUCCUGUCAGUGUAGAUUGGCAAACCAUGAAAUGUCCCCAAAGGUCUUAAAAGUAUAAGGCAUGAAUGAGACCGCAAGAAAGAGAGGGGAGGUUGUUCAGAUUCCUAAAGGGGGGUUCUUUGUGUACUUAAUGUCUUAAGUAAGUCAUUUUAUCUUUUAGAAAUCACUAAAAAGCCAUCAGGUGGUUCCUGCACACGUGUGUGAAUGUAUGUAUAUGUAUACAGUAGACAAGGUAGUGCCACCCAGCAUUCAAAACAAAACAAAACAAAGCAAAACACUCCUAUAAGCGCAUGAGAAAAUAGCUCCGUGGAAAAACUGCACCGUGUGUGUAAGGAUUUUUUUUUUCUAAGAGAACUGAUUGAAGUGAUU